UAAGUUAGAAAGGGCGCACGGUGGAUGCCUUGACACUAGGAGUCGAUGAAGGACGGGACUAACGCCGAUAUGCUUCGGGGAGCUGUAAGUAAGCUUUGAUCCGAAGAUUUCCGAAUGGGGAAACCCACCAUACGUAAUGGUAUGGUAUCCUUAUCUGAAUACAUAGGGUAAGGAAGACAGACCCAGGGAACUGAAACAUCUAAGUACCUGGAGGAAGAGAAAGCAAAUGCGAUUUCCUGAGUAGCGGCGAGCGAAACGGAACAUAGCCCAAACCAAGAGGCUUGCCUCUUGGGGUUGUAGGACAUUCUAUACGGAGUUACAAAGGAACGAGGUAGACGAAGCGACCUGGAAAGGUCCGUCGUAGAGGGUAACAACCCCGUAGUCGAAACUUCGUUCUCUCUUGAAUGUAUCCUGAGUACGGCGGAACACGUGAAAUUCCGUCGGAAUCUGGGAGGACCAUCUCCCAAGGCUAAAUACUCCCUAGUGAUCGAUAGUGAACCAGUACCGUGAGGGAAAGGUGAAAAGCACCCCGGAAGGGGAGUGAAAGAGAUCCUGAAACCGUGUGCCUACAAAUAGUCAGAGCCCGUUAACGGGUGAUGGCGUGCCUUUUGUAGAAUGAACCGGCGAGUUACGAUCCCGUGCGAGGUUAAGCUGAAGAGGCGGAGCCGCAGCGAAAGCGAGUCUGAAUAGGGCGUUUAGUACGUGGUCGUAGACCCGAAACCAGGUGAUCUACCCAUGUCCAGGGUGAAGUUCAGGUAACACUGAAUGGAGGCCCGAACCCACGCACGUUGAAAAGUGCGGGGAUGAGGUGUGGGUAGCGGAGAAAUUCCAAUCGAACCUGGAGAUAGCUGGUUCUCCCCGAAAUAGCUUUAGGGCUAGCCUUAAGUGUAAGAGUCUUGGAGGUAGAGCACUGAUUGGACUAGGGGUCCUCAUCGGAUUACCGAAUUCAGUCAAACUCCGAAUGCCAAUGACUUAUCCUUAGGAGUCAGACUGCGAGUGAUAAGAUCCGUAGUCAAAAGGGAAACAGCCCAGACCGCCAGCUAAGGUCCCAAAGUGUGUAUUAAGUGGAAAAGGAUGUGGAGUUGCUUAGACAACUAGGAUGUUGGCUUAGAAGCAGCCACCAUUUAAAGAGUGCGUAAUAGCUCACUAGUCGAGUGACUCUGCGCCGAAAAUGUACCGGGGCUAAAUACACCACCGAAGCUGCGGAUUGAUACCAAUGGUAUCAGUGGUAGGGGAGCGUUCUAAGGACAGUGAAGUCAGACCGGAAGGACUGGUGGAGUGCUUAGAAGUGAGAAUGCCGGUAUGAGUAGCGAAAGACGGGUGAGAAUCCCGUCCACCGAAUGCCUAAGGUUUCCUGAGGAAGGCUCGUCCGCUCAGGGUUAGUCAGGACCUAAGCCGAGGCCGACAGGCGUAGGCGAUGGACAACAGGUUGAUAUUCCUGUACCACCUCUUUAUCGUUUGAGCAAUGGAGGGACGCAGAAGGAUAGAAGAAGCGUGCGAUUGGUUGUGCACGUCCAAGCAGUUAGGCUGAUAAGUAGGCAAAUCCGCUUAUCGUGAAGGCUGAGCUGUGAUGGGGAAGCUCCUUAUGGAGCGAAGUCUUUGAUUCCCCGCUGCCAAGAAAAGCUUCUAGCGAGAUAAAAGGUGCCUGUACCGCAAACCGACACAGGUAGGCGAGGAGAGAAUCCUAAGGUGUGCGAGAGAACUCUGGUUAAGGAACUCGGCAAAAUGACCCCGUAACUUCGGGAGAAGGGGUGCUUUCUUAACGGAAAGCCGCAGUGAAUAGGCCCAAGCGACUGUUUAGCAAAAACACAGCUCUCUGCGAAGCCGUAAGGCGAAGUAUAGGGGGUGACACCUGCCCGGUGCUGGAAGGUUAAGGAGAGGGGUUAGCGUAAGCGAAGCUCUGAACUGAAGCCCCAGUAAACGGCGGCCGUAACUAUAACGGUCCUAAGGUAGCGAAAUUCCUUGUCGGGUAAGUUCCGACCCGCACGAAAGGUGUAACGAUUUGGGCACUGUCUCAACCAGAGACUCGGUGAAAUUAUAGUACCUGUGAAGAUGCAGGUUACCCGCGACAGGACGGAAAGACCCCGUGGAGCUUUACUGUAGCCUGAUAUUGAAUUUUGGUACAGUUUGUACAGGAUAGGCGGGAGCCUUUGAAACCGGAGCGCUAGCUUCGGUGGAGGCGCUGGUGGGAUACCGCCCUGACUGUAUUGAAAUUCUAACCUACGGGUCUUUUCGACCCGGGAGACAGUGUCAGGUGGGCAGUUUGACUGGGGCGGUCGCCUCCUAAAGUGUAACGGAGGCGCCCAAAGGUUCCCUCAGAAUGGUUGGAAAUCAUUCGUAGAGUGCAAAGGCAUAAGGGAGCUUGACUGCGAGACCUACAAGUCGAGCAGGGACGAAAGUCGGGCUUAGUGAUCCGGUGGUUCCGCAUGGAAGGGCCAUCGCUCAACGGAUAAAAGCUACCCCGGGGAUAACAGGCUUAUCUCCCCCAAGAGUCCACAUCGACGGGGAGGUUUGGCACCUCGAUGUCGGCUCAUCGCAUCCUGGGGCUGUAGUCGGUCCCAAGGGUUGGGCUGUUCGCCCAUUAAAGCGGUACGCGAGCUGGGUUCAGAACGUCGUGAGACAGUUCGGUCCCUAUCCGUCGUGGGCGUAGGAAAUUUGAGAGGAGCUGUCCUUAGUACGAGAGGACCGGGAUGGACGCACCGCUGGUGUACCAGUUGUUCUGCCAAGGGCAUAGCUGGGUAGCUAUGUGCGGAAGGGAUAAGUGCUGAAAGCAUCUAAGCAUGAAGCCCCCCUCAAGAUGAGAUUUCUCAUAGCGUAAGCUAGUAAGAUCCCUGAAAGAUGAUCAGGUUGAUAGGUUCGAGGUGGAAGCAUGGUGACAUGUGGAGCUGACGAAUACUAAUAGAUCGAGGACUUAACCA
rnacentral:rRNA from 1 species